rnacentral:misc_RNA from 1 species
CGCCAAAGCGGUUUCACUCCUGUGG